CCUUAAAGUAAAAAGUAAUUAUAAGAAAUAUGGCAGAUGCAUUUAUUUCAGCUUCGACUCUAAUCCUUUUCAUGAAAGAAAUAUAUAAUAAAUUCUAUAACAUGAAGAUAAUCCAGCUCAACAAAAUCCUGUUUUAUAUAUUUUCCUGUUAAACUUACCCAAUUAUUGCAUUUGAACACCUAAAAAGUAACUUUAGCAUGUUAAAACAAAUUUGAAAUUUAUUAAUUAUUUAAAAUGAACUGUUUCAUCACUACAUUGGUUAAAACUUGAAUUAAAUUUUGUAUUCAGAAAAAAUGAGGUAAGUAUAAGAAUAAGUGAAUUAUGAUGAAUCCGGAGACUAGUCAGUGAAAUAAUGUGUCAAAUGAUUUAGUUACAAACCAACGUGAAACUGAGUUAGCCGUGAUGGACGCAGAAAAUCGCGUGAUCCUAAACUGUGGCGGGAUUAGACAUGAAACAUAUAAGACGACGUUAAAAAAGAUCCCAGCAACCCGACUGUCAAGGCUCACGGAAGCUUUGGCCAAUUAUGAUCCAAUACUAAAUGAAUAUUUUUUUGAUAGACAUCCCGGUGUUUUCGCUCAGAUUCUUAACUAUUACAGGACCGGAAAGUUACAUUAUCCUACUGAUGUAUGCGGACCUCUGUUCGAAGAGGAGCUUGAGUAUUGGGGACUUGAUAGUAACCAGGUCGAACCAUGCUGCUGGAUGACAUAUACUCAGCACAGAGACACACAAGAGACCCUGGCUGUGCUGGACCGGUUGGAUCUAGAUACUGAUAAACCAAGUGAUGAGGAGUUAGCUAAACGGUUUGGUUACGAAGAUGCAUAUUACAAUGGUGCUGUUUCAAAAUGGAUGAAAAUAAAGCCUAAAAUCUGGAGUACAUUCGAUGAACCUUAUUCAUCCCCUACGGCAAAGAGUGUCGGUAUUGUUUCUGUGUUUUUCAUCUGUACCUCUAUUCUAACCUUCUGCCUGAAAACACAUCCAGAUAUGAGAGUUCCAAUUAUUCAUAAUAUUACAGUUAGAACUUCGCAAAAUACAACAGCUUGGACUCUGGAUAAAUAUGGGACAAACGCUCAUGAUGCUUUCUUUUAUGUGGAGUGCGUUUGUAAUGCGUGGUUCACAAUUGAGCUUCUAAUUAGAUUUAUUUCGUGUCCCGAUAUAUGUGAUUUCGUACGCAGUUCUGUCAAUAUUAUAGACUGUAUUGCUACCCUUAGCUUCUACAUAGAUCUGGUGUUAGCUCAGCUAGCUUCCCAUCUAGAGAACGCUGAUGUUCUGGAGUUCUUCUCAAUCAUUAGAAUACUUAGGCUCUUCAAACUUACAAGACACUCAUCUGGACUUAAAAUCCUACUUCAGACUUUCAGAGCUUCAGCUAAAGAACUAAUGUUACUGGUUUUCUUCCUGGUAUUGGGAAUCAUUAUCUUUGCUAGCUUAGUGUAUUAUGCAGAACGAAUACAACCCAACCCUCACAAUGACUUUAAUUCAAUUCCCCUUGGACUGUGGUGGGCUCUUGUAACCAUGACUACAGUAGGAUACGGAGAUAUGGUUCCUAAGACCUAUCUAGGGAUGUUUGUAGGAGCACUAUGUGCUCUAGGAGGUGUACUAACUGUAGCUCUUCCAGUUCCUGUCAUUGUUUCAAACUUCGAGAUGUACUAUUCACAUACACAGGCCAGAGCUAAGCUGCCAAAGAAACGGCGACGAGUGGUCAACGUUGAUGUCUCUGAGGUCAGAAGAAAUAGAAAUCGGUCAACUUCUAGAUCUGUUACAAGUAAACUCAACAUGAGUAAGCUUGGAAUGGGCUCAAAACUUGGGAGAAACAAUACGGGUGGUCCACCAUCCAACAUGACCGCGGCAGAGGCAUAUGCAGCUCGUUGGGACCUUUCCCCUUAUCCAACUCCUCGUCCUAUUCCUAUUAUUCCAAGACAAGCUACAGCAGAAUUUAACUAUUCCUAUCCUAACUCCAGUAUAAAACCACUUGCUACUCAAAGCUCCCUACCCUCUGACAUACCAAGUCCUCAAGUUGAAACUGUUCAGAUUAGAAAAAAAUCGCGUCCUAGCAUUUCCUUUGACUUUUCCAAUAACGUUAGCAGUGGAUCUCCAGAUCAUUCAGAGAAAUGCCAUCUUACCACCCACCUCAUUUCAAAAUCCUAGUGCUAACUUUUAAAUAUUUAUUUUCUUUCCUUUCAUAUUUUCCUUUAAAAAAAGCAUAAACUUAUCCUUUAACUCCUCAGAGAUCCAAUUCACUUCUUGAGGAGCUGGGGUUGUCUGGUGUUGGUGCGAAUAUGGUAACUGUAGGACCAGGGGGCCCCCAGCCUGGGAUGGGCAUACUAGCAAUGAUG
rnacentral:misc_RNA from 1 species